rnacentral:rRNA from 1 species
AGUGAACGCUGGCGGUAGGCCUAACACAUGCAAGUCGAACGGCAGCACAGUAAGAGCUUGCUCUUACGGGUGGCGAGUGGCGGACGGGUGAGGAAUACAUCGUAAUCUACUUUUUCGUAGGGGAUAACGUAGGGAAACUUACGCUAAUACCGCAUACGACCUACGGGUGAAAGCAGGGGAUCUUCUGACCUUGCGCGAGUGAAUGAGCCGAUGUCGGAUUAGCUAGUUGGCGGGGUAAAGGCCCACCAAGGCGCCGAUCCGUAGCUGGUCUGAGUGGAUGAUCAGCCACCCUGGAAGUGAGACACGGUCCAGACUACUACGGGAGGCAGCAGUGUGGAAUAUUGGACAAUGGGCGCAAGCCUGAUCCAGCCAUACCGCGUGGGUGAAGAAGGCCUUCGGGUUGUAAAGACCUUUUGUUGGGAAAGAAAAGCAGCAGGUUAAUACCCCGCUGUUCUGACGGUAACCAAAGAAUAAGCACCGGCUAACUUCGUG